GACAGAGGGUGCAAACGUUGCUCGGAAUUACUGGGCGUAAAGCGCGUGUAGGUGGAUUGGUGUGUCAGAUGUGAAAGCCCUGGGCUCAACCCAGGAACUGCACCUGAAACUACCAGUCUUGAGUGGUGGAGAGGGAAGUGGAAUUCCUGGUGUAGAGGUGAAAUUCGUAGAUAUUCGCAAGAACACCAGUGGCGAAGGCGGCUCACUGGCCCGGUACUGACGCUGAGGUGCGAAAGCGUGGGGAGCAAACAGG
rnacentral:rRNA from 1 species